GAUGAACGCUAGCUACAGGCUUAACACAUGCAAGUCGAGGGGUAACGAGAGGAAAGCUUGCUUUCCUUGUCGACGACCGGCGCACGGGUGAGUAACGCGUAUCCAACCUGCCCCCAACUAGGGAAUAACCUUGCGAAAGUAAGACUAAUACCCUAUAAUUUCCUCAGAUGACAUCUGACGAGGAAUAAAGAUUUAUCGGUUGUGGAUGGGGAGGCGUCUGAUUAGCUUGUUGGCGGGGUAACGGCCCACCAAGGCAACGAUCAGUAGGGGUUCUGAGAGGAAGGUCCCCCACAUUGGAACUGAGACACGGUCCAAACUCCUACGGGAGGCAGCAGUGAGGAAUAUUGGUCAAUGGGCGGAAGCCCGAACCAGCCAAGUAGCGUGCAGGAUGACGGCCCUAUGGGUUGUAAACUGCUUUUAUACAGGAAUAAAGUUAGCUACGUGUGGUUAUUUGUAGGUACUGUAUGAAUAAGGACCGGCUAAUUCCGUGCCAGCCGCCGCAGUAA
rnacentral:rRNA from 1 species